AAGCGCUGGCAACCAGACUCGAGCGCGGUGUUCCCCCUGGCUUCUGCUAGGGUUACUUCACCGUGUCCGGGCCAUCAUCAGUUUUGGGGACCGGUCAAAGGCCCCGGGAAUGUGGCUCUCUUCGGGGAGUGUUAUAGCCCACCGUGUAAUACCCUGGGGGGGACUGAGGUUCGCGCAUCUGCAAGGAUGCUGGCGUAAUGGU
rnacentral:rRNA from 1 species